rnacentral:rRNA from 1 species
UACAGAGGUCUCAAGCGUUGUUCGGAUUCAUUGGGCGUAAAGUGUGCGUAGGUGGCGCCAUAAGUCAGGUGUGAAAUCUCGGGGCUUAACUCCGAAACUGCAUUUGAUACUGUGGUGCUUGAGGGCUGGAGAGGAGACUGGAAUUCACGGUGUAGCAGUGAAAUGCGUAGAGAUCGUGAGGAAGACCAGUGGCGAAGGCGGGUCUCUGGACAGUUCCUGACACUGAGGCACGAAGGCCAGGGGAGCAAACGGG